ACUGUACGUAGGAGGCCAGGUAACUUCACCGGGUAAGGCAACGAACUGGCGAAGAAUGCUGGGGAGGGCUCCUCUUAAAUAGGCUGGAGUGGAGGUGAUGAGUGCCGACAGCUGGGUCCAAUUAGGAGGUGGAGGAGGAGCGCAGGCGGACCAUGACAGUUCUCAGGUUCAAAGUUUCAGCAUGAAGCCUCGUUCUCAGGCUACUUCAAUCUUUAUCAAUUUUAACUUUGGAUUUGUUAGUAAUGUGUAUUUUCUAAAAUUUCAGGAGACUUGCAGCCCUUAUUUACCCUGGGUUAUGGACUGAAAAGACAGGAAGCAACCUCGAGUUCUUUCCUCGGCAGCUCACAGGAAACUCCUGUGGCAUCUUCAUGCUGAUGUAUGCUCUCUGUAUCUCCACAUCAACUCCACUGAUGUUCUCUGAGGAGGAAAUGCCAGCUGUAUGAAAAUGGUGGUGCAUUCAGUUAAUGGAGAGGUUUUCCAUUGACGGGUACGGCAAACACAAACUGACAUUAUCAUACUCAGUUAUCAAAUUUGGUAUUAUUUAUAGUUUUGGCUAAAGCAAGACAUGAAGGCUAAGCAAAUGUUUUUAAAGGUGUUCCUAUAGAGACCCUGCUAUUGAACGUAUGAAAGGGGGAAGGAGUAUAGAGUCCUUUCAAACUUGCAUUAUUUUUCUAAAGCAUGGACGACGAUUUGCCCAUUGGACAGAAGAAGCCUCCCUUCUCCUUCAGGGAACUCUUCAGCCCGCGUUCAGAGUCCCAAAGGUGAAGAAGUUGCCUUCAGCAACUCCAGUCACAAAGGCUGAGGCUGACCGGUGCUUUUUACUAGAGCAACCGGCAAGUCUCCUAAGGGACAUACUUGAAGAAGUUGUCCUCCUUGAAGGAGAUCCAGCCAUCCUAAAACUGGCUCUGGUGUGCUCCACAUUCAGAGACCACGUUUCAUCAGAGCUCUUCAGGAGACAAGCUCACUUCAAGUGGCUUCGCAGUGUUUGCACAUGGAGCAGAUUCUCUACACUGUACAGUGAGCAGUACUUUGUGAUGUACUCCAUUGAGGUGUG